rnacentral:misc_RNA from 1 species
UUAAGUUCAGCGGGUAGUCCUACCUGAUUUGAGAUCAAACGUCCAAAGAGCUGUCCUCGGUGAGGAGAGACAUGUUUAUGAGCCCCAGUGAACCUUCAUCACUGAAGGUUACCUGGUGGAAAACCACAAGCGUAGAUAGUUAUCACACCUGUGAUGCCACCAAACACUGGCAAGCUGAUUCAUUUGAAAGGAGCUGACCC